rnacentral:lncRNA from 1 species
AUUAUAACUGUUUAUAAGAUGGAUUGAGAUGUUAAAUUCCUGAAAAGGAUAAAUAAUAGAAAAAGCAGCCCCCUCGCUCUUCCUUCCUCCAUCAUCAUGAUGUGUACAGUUGACUCCAUUUCUCACCCUGUCUUCUCACAAUUGUGUCUUUCAGGGUCAAGUGAUUUCAGGCCAAGAAACAAAAGCAAAAUUGUCUCAUUCCCCAGUGCAUUCAGAUGAAAACUGAUAAUAAAAUCAGGUCAUCCUCCAUGCCCUUCUGAUGUCCACACGUCUCUUCAUUUUCUUCUCAGGCCUCCUCUUUCUCUCACCAUCUAAGUUAUUGAAAUUCUUGAAAUCCUAAGCAGGCCUGGCACUGAGAGGUAAGCACCUGAGAGUGUCAGUCUUCCCUAGAUAAAUGGAACUGUGUGCAGAUCUGGGACUGCUGGAAGGGUGUGAGGUAGGGAUUUAAGGAUGGCGCAAGUAGGGUGGGGCUAAAAAAGACCUUGUCUUCUUUAUAUAGGAGCAUCGAGAUUAAAGGGUGUGAGGUAGGGGUUUAAGGAUGGCGCAAGUCAGGUGGGGCUAAAAAAGACCUUGUCUUCUUUAUAUAGGAGCAUCGAGAUUAAACACUGAAUUCAGCAGUGUUCAAUUCAUUUCUUAUUUUCCACUGUAUUUCAUUUCAACCCAUCCUCUAUAUUUUGUGAGCCUAAAGCCUUUAGAUAUGUGUAGAGGAAGGUGUGAUACAGCUUUCAACUUCUUGAAAUUUGCCCAAGAAAUACUUUGUAUCAUGAGGUCUGCAGUUAUUUAUACAAAUCCCUGAAAAUAUUUCAUGGCAAAUCUGUAGCACCCAGUUGAGAUGAGACCAAACUGGAAAAAACUCUGUGGCUGUGGUUAUUGUCAGUUCUGUAAGAUGAAGAUGGGACCAGUGACAAGAAUGUGCACUAUUUACUGAGCACUCACCUGCACAGGGCCAUGUGCUUUUCAGACAUUGCCUCUUUCAGUCUUGAGCACAAUGCCAGUUGUGCCAUCCCCUGACAUAUAGAUGAGAUGAAGAUCCAGACAUAACCAGCAAGGGCAGGGCUGGGAUGCGAUCCAUGUGUGCCUGGUUCCCAGGGUUCGCAUGUUUGCAGUGUUCUCUCCAUAACGGUUUGCCUUAAUGAAGAGAGGAUUCAGGAUGUCCAGUUUCAGCCUCACUGGCUGGGCUGGAAUCUUCCAUUGACCCUUCCACUCUACAUUCCUCCCUGG